rnacentral:rRNA from 1 species
CACGGAGUUAGCCGGUGCUUCUUCUGCGGGUAACGUCAAUGAGCAAAGGUAUUAACUUUACUCCCUUCCUCCCCGCUGAAAGUACUUUACAACCCGAAGGCCUUCUUCAUACACGCGGCAUGGCUGCAUCAGGCUUGCGCCCAUUGUGCAAUAUUCCCCA